rnacentral:rRNA from 1 species
GACGAACGCUGGCGGCGUGCUUAACACAUGCAAGUCGAACGGUAAGGCCCUUCGGGGUACACGAGUGGCGAACGGGUGAGUAACACGUGGGUGAUCUGCCCUGCACUUCGGGAUAAGCCUGGGAAACUGGGUCUAAUACCGGAUAGGACCACUGCCUGCAUGGGUGGUGGUGGAAAGCUUUUGCGGUGUGGGAUGGGCCCGCGGCCUAUCAGCUUGUUGGUGGGGUGAUGGCCUACCAAGGCGACGACGGGUAGCCGGCCUGAGAGGGUGACCGGCCCAACGGGGGCUGAGAUACGGCCCAGACUCCUACGGGAGGCAGCAGUGGGGAAUAUUGCACAAAGGGCGCAAGCCUGAUGCAGCGACGCCGCGUGAGGGAUGACGGCCUUCGGGUUGUAAACCUCUUUCAGUAGGGACGAAGCGCAAGUGACGGUACCUACAGAAGAAGGACCGGCCAACUACGUGCCAGCCGCCGCCGUAA